rnacentral:rRNA from 1 species
AUGACCUCCCAGGACGGCGCCGCCCCGCCGCCGGCCCCGCCCAAGCGCCCUGCCCCGGGGGAGCAGCCGUCGUCCGAGGUUCUCGUCACCUACAAGCGCCGCCGCACGGCCACCCGCGGCGCCAGCUCCGACCCCGGAGCGCCUUGUGCCACCACCGUCCCCUGUAGCGGUACUUCUGGCCAAGAUGGCCACCAGAUCCUGCCCAGACAUUGGAUUACUUGGAGGAACACGUUGGAGGGCUUCCUGCAAUCCCCAGGUGUAAAUAAGGGUGGAGGGAUUCAGUGCUGCAUACAAGAUGCGCUCAGAUACAAUUGCUGUCGAUCAGUGCAAAAAGGCAACCUAAAUAAAGGCCAAGGAGCGUCAGAAGAGCAUCCUGCUGGAGUAGCAGGUGCUAAAGAGAUUAGCUCCUCUAUUGCAUUAAAAGAUGCGAUUGCAGCAUCAUUGGAUGCCAACACAGCAAUGUGCAAUAAUGCUCUCCUUGACAUUUUUGUCUCAGAGAAGUUUGCCAUGUUGUGUGAUUUGCUAGUUGGAACUUUCCAUGUGAGUAAGGUUCAUGAGGUCAUUGAUUUGGGGAAAAUUGACGCCAACAUGAGAAAUGGAAACUAUGCACGGAACCCGGCUCUGUUCAACGACCACAUCCAGCAGAUAUGGGAGAAGUUUGAACAAGUUGGCCGAGAGAUGACAAGUCUAGCCAGCAAUCUUCCAAUCAUUUCACGAGCUUCCUAUCAGAAGCAAGCUUCUGGAGUUUCUGAAGUAGAGGUUGCUGCUGAGCACAGGAUAGAGGAAACAAGUCUGGGUGGUUUUGUCGAGAAAAUCCCGAAGGAUUCAAAUACGACCACACAGUUCUCCCCAUGUGAUUCCGGUCAUUCUACAAUACCAAAGCGAUCUGGGACAUGUGGACUUGGUCGAACUUGCACUUGCAAACAAUGUGGAACCAGUGCAGAAGAAGAAAAAAGCCUUAUAUGUGAUGGAUGCGACACGACAUACCACUUUGAAUGUGUGAAGCGACUCCAUCCUGCUAUGAAACAAAUCCCGGACAACUGGCACUGUCCUGCCUGCAGCAGCAAUAAGGGAAAGGGAAAGGGAAAGGGAAAGUCUGCAGGCGCCAAGAAGAAUGUUCAUGACAGCCUGCAUGGUGAUUGUCCUCUGUGUGACAAGCUUGAGGUCGUCAAGAAGAUAGAACCACCUGAAGUUGCCAGCGGAAUCGAGGCAGCCGACGAAAGAGAAGGGAGCUCGGUGCCGAGUGUGGAGGAAGAGAAUGAGCCGGACCUGUACACGACCGCCCUGUCGAAGCUGUGCAAGCACUGUGGCACGUGCGAGGACGACGACAAGCAGUUCCUGGUGUGUGGCCACCCUUACUGCCCCUACAAGUUCUACCACAUCCGGUGCCUGAGGACGAGCCAGAUCGCGCUGGAGAAGCAGAAGAAUCUGGAGUGCUGGUACUGCCCCUCCUGCCUCUGCAGGGGCUGCUUCAAGAACAAGGACGACGAGGAGAUCACCCUGUGCGACGGCUGCGACGAGGCCUACCACGUGUACUGCAUGACGCCCAAGCGCACCUGCGUCCCCAAGGGCCACUGGUACUGCCCGCUGUGCAGCGUGCGGCGGGCAAGGGAGGGGAUGCAGAGGUACGAGAAGUCGAUCCUGAAGAAACAACAACAUAUAAGCGCCAAGCGUGCGAGCCAGUCGGACGACGCUUAG